rnacentral:misc_RNA from 1 species
GAUGAAGAACGUAGCGAAACGCGAUAGUUAAUGUGAAUUGCAGAAUUCAGUGAAUCAUCGAGUCUUUGAACGCACAUUGCGCCCCCUGGUAUUCCGGGGGGCAUGCCUGUCCGAGCGUCAUUGCUGCCCAUCAAGCGCGGCUUGUGUGUUGGGCCGCCGUCCGCCUUCCCCCCCGGGGGGAGGGGGACGGGCCCGAAAGGCAGCGGCGGCACCGCGUCCGGUCCUCGAGCGUAUGGGGCUCUGUCACCCGCUCUGGAGGCCCGGCCGGCGCCCGCCGACCCCCAACCUUCUUCUAACCAGGUUGACCUCGGAUCAGGUAGGGAUACCCGCUGAACUUAAGCAUAUCAAUAAGCGGACGA